UACAGAGGGGGCGAGCGUUGCCCGGAUUCAUUGGGCGUAAAGAGCUCGUAGGCGGCUGACCAAGUCGGAUGUGAAAUUCCCAGGCUCAACCUGGGACUGUCAUUCGAUACUGGUCUGGCUUGAGUCCGGUAGGGGACCAUGGAAUUCCUGGUGUAGCGGUGAAAUGCGCAGAUAUCAGGAGGAACACCGAUGGCGAAGGCAGUGGUCUGGGCCGGUACUGACGCUGAGGAGCGAAAGCGUGGGGAGCGAACAGG
rnacentral:misc_RNA from 1 species